CGAUAUAAACAACACCGAGCCUGCAUUCCUAAGUCAUCGAUAAGUGAGCGAUACGGGAUGUAGGCCGCGAGCGGUAAAACCGCCCGCCAGGGUCGCAAGGGAAACCGAACGGCCUCCCGCAUUUGGAAAGGUGAUGAAGGAAAACCGCG
rnacentral:ncRNA from 1 species